rnacentral:rRNA from 1 species
CCCUUAGAUGUUCUGGGCCGCACGCGCGCUACACUGUUCGACGCAGCGAGUCUUAACCUUGACCGAAAGGUUUGGGUAAUCUUCAGCAAAGUCGAACGUGAUGGGGAUCGAUCAUUGCAAUUAUUGAUCGUGAACGAGGAAUUCCUAGUAAGUGCAAGUCAUCAGCUUGCGCUGAUUACGUCCCUGCCCUUUGUACACACCGCCCGUCGCUACUACCGAUUGAAUGGUUUAGUGAGAUCUCUGGAUUGACGCUGGCUAGGGGGCGACCCUUGGCCAGGCUGUCGAGAAACUGCUCAAACUUGAUCAUUUAGAGGAAGUAAAAGUCGUAGCA